GAAUUUCAUGGUUAAUGUUUUGUUUUUAAGUGCAUACAAGCAUGAUUCCGCCUUUUAAUUGUUAAUUGCAUGCUUUAGAUGUUGCUUAAAUGAACAUGUUUUUCACAAUAUAUACUUCAGUGGCAACAACACUACCUCCUGGAGAAGGUGUUUGACUGCCUCUACUAGUUGGGCGCCGAUUUGAUAUAAAGUUCGAUAUCUACAAAAAAUAAUUAAUAAAAAAGUUAUAUUCCACUACUUUAAUUUGGUUUGGAUAUACUAAAAAAUAUCCUAACCUUGAAGCAAAAUAAGAUAUAUCUUUAAUUUCAUUAAUAUCAUUAAAGAAUGAAUCGAAUUAUCAACUUACCUAUAUAUGCGCAAAAUAUAUAUUCAUGCACAAUAGUCUUAAACAGAAAUAACAUAGUGCGAACAACACUCACUAAUUUAGCAUAUCAACAACUUAAUGUCUAAAAGAAUUUUUUAUAGGUAGCCAAUUAUUCUAACUGGUGAGCCACAAGUAUUCUUUUUUGCACGCAUCCUUUAAACAAACCAAAAGGACACUUACGACAUAAGCGCGUACUGUACAGAUUAAUAUGCAAGAUAUAAGACAAAACAAUAUUGAAUUAAUGAACCCAUUAAUCUACAACAUCAUAUCUUGAUUGUAGAAAACACUUUUUGAUAAAGGAAAACACUACUGCCACAAAUAAUCUACAACAUCAUAUCUUGAUUGCAGAAAACACUUUUUGAUAAAGGAAAACACUACCGCUACAAAUCUCUUACUCAAACAGGUCCUAUUUGCCAAAAUCUUAACAUGUAAUACUAGAAAAAAUGCCUUUUGUCCAAUUAAAUCUGCUAGCUUGCAUUUGGAUAUUAUGUCUCUCUCUACUGUAAACAGCUUGAAGAAGUCUAAGAAUGUGCUAGGUUUAGUAAAGUGUUAUAUUACCAUUAAUUUUUUUUCAUUUAAAAAAAAUACAUCUAUAUCAAGUGCAAUUGAUUAGAUUCCUGUUCUCCCAUUGAACUUUAUUGUCGGAUUGUGCAUUUAUGUUGUCAUUAAGGAUGUGGUUCUCUUGGUGUGUUCCUGUUUGUUGUGUGAACAAGAUACAUGAAUUGCAUACUAUGAGUUAAUGAUAUAAACAUUACUUAUGCAAGAAACAAGAACAAAAACAUCCUAAAAAAUCACAUUCUAUCCAAAUGACAAGAAAAAUUUAAAAUUUUUCCAAGAACCCAACUAUCAAAAAACAACCAGAAAACUAUAUUUGAGCCCAAAUGUGCCUAAUUCAUAUCAACUUCUAAAGUAAGACUUCCACCCCCAAAAUUUGAAUUUUAUUAGGAACGCUGUUCACAAAUAAAUUAAAUAAAUUCAAAUUUUGGAAACAUGAAUGAACAGUUUUAUAUAUAAAAAAAAGAUGAUAUAAGGAUGCGAAAGAAGCUAUACUAACUGAACGAAUUGCAUUUGUGAUAUAAAUUCAUACCAAUUGACAUGGGGGUGAUGUGGUAUAAACUAACACACAAAUUAAAUCCUAUAAUUUAGACAAUUGUAGUAUGAGCAAGUAGGGAUCGUUCUAGGCCGGAGAUUAGGAAAGAUGCUAAUCAACAUAAAUUAAACUUAAAAACUAAAAACUAAGCUAGACUAACACAAAAAAAGAACUGAGGGGGAUUUUUGGACGAAUUUUAACAAAAAUAAAGUAAAUUGCAACAAACGAAUUAAGUUUUGUACUAGAUAUAAGUGAAAGGCUAGCUAGAUGAUUCUUCUCCACACAUGAAACAUAUGCAUACAAAUUGAUUUCGAAUUAUUUUUUCUAUAAACCAUGAAUGACAAUGCCCCAAAUUACUUGUGAACAGCACUAAUUAACUCUCAUAUUUUCCUAAGUUCAUUGAAUUGGACUCAGCGACACAAUCAAAUUAUUCUUCUCAAGUUCCCUAACUAUGAAAAGCAUGAUAGAGAUACAUCUCAAAGAUCAUUAAGUUCUGUGAAAAUCAUAAACAUUGACAAAGCAUUCGUAACUAUGAACUGCAAGAUACUACUGCCAGGAAUUUACUUAACUCAAUCAUGAUUAGUGACUUUUACUACUUAUAAAUAUAAGUUCAUAACGAUUAGGUGAAAUUCCCUUAUAUUCUAGCAUCAAAUCCUUGCAUGCAAACUAAGUAUGCAUCCUUAAUAAACAUACAAGAAUAAGUUCUCUAUAAAACAGAUAAGUAAAUCACAUUCAUGGUUUAUGAAACAAUAACUGGAUGUAAUUAAUUUAUAUAAAACAUAUGAUCAUGGCUUCGAAUUCACCUCUAGCUAAAAAGAAAAUUAGUUACACAUGUUCAUCUUAAUUGAAAAUCAAUCUAAAAUAAAGGUUGAAACUAAAUAAGGAUAGAAAGAACUCUGAAAAUCUCCAAUGGUUUGAUUGCAAUAUUGUGGCACAAGUCUUGGGUUUAUCUCUGCAUGGCACAAGCUCUCCUUCUCCAAUUGCAGAUUGCAGCACACUUGUAUUCUCCCUUGAAUGCUCCUAAAUCCUGCGAUACAACCCCCCUAAAUGUUGCGGCACAAUUAUGUUUAUAUAGGGUAGGGUUCUAUUAAAACCAAGGAAGAAAGGGAUUGAGUUGUUUGGAUUGGUUUAGGACUCCUAAAAUCAGAUGGGAAACAUUUAAAAUAUGAUAAGGAUUCCUUUUACAAUUGGAAAUAGGAAGAGAUAAUAUUAGAUAAUCAAGGAUAAUGUUGGAUAAGAUUAAAUAAGAUAAGAUAAGAUAUGCAUAAGAUAAGGUAAGUUUGGAUAAGGUUGGAUAAGAUAAUGUUUUUCCUUGUUUUCCAAGCUUCAAUUCUAAUUGCUCCAUAUCUUGGCACAUGUCUUACACAUGUUAAACACCUUCUAAUCAUCAAAAAACGUCCAGCCCACUUGUUCUCUCCAAGCAUGCUAUCCAUUCCAAGUCCAAAACUGCUCCAAAUUGCUCCGAUUAGCCAUUUAUUGUUAUCUUUACCAAUUGGACCUACAAUAAUAUGAAAAUAACUUAAAUUACCAAAAUAAAUGGAAAUUAACUAAGAAAAUGCAAAGAAAUAAGAUAACAAAGUCGCAUAAAUAUGCUCCUAUCAAAUUCCCCCACACUUAGCUUUUGCUAGUCCCCGAGCAAAACAAAGAAAACAAAACAAAACCUAAACCUUCCAACAAUUGCCUCAGGGAUUUCCAGUGAAACAUGACAUGUUCAAAAUCACUACUCACAUAGAUUUUAGCCAUCCUUACUCUUGAGCUUAUACUCAACCGCAAUAACCGCUCACUAGCUCGCAGUUAAUCAAUUAAAACAACAUUUGAAUGUAGUAACAUACCUUAGAAAAUUCACUCAAUUAGAGAAUUCACUCAAUUCCUCACCGGAUAUACUCUCUCUUUUCACACAGAUUUUCUAAUUACACUCUCUAUACUAAGUAUAUGUGAGAAGAUUGACGUAAACAUGUAGACUAGCACUCACAUAUGUUAUAACAAAGAAGGCACUUUCUAGAAUUAUUAAUACAAACAUGUAUUUAAUCUCAUGAAUGGAAUGCCACUACUUAGAAGUGAGAACCAGGGAUUCCAUAUGCUCAUACUUGAAGGAUUAUUUUGUGAAAACAUGUUCAUUUAAGCAACAUCUAUAAGCAUGCAAUUAACAAUUAAAGGCGGAAU
rnacentral:lncRNA from 1 species